UAGAAUACCCUUACAAGAUCUGGAUAAAUGUUUCCAGACAUUUCUAGAAACCUUUUCGGUUGUUGUUCCUUCAGAAGAUCUCUCACUUCAAAUAGCUUUUGCUCUUUCAACCAGUUGAAUGAAAUGAGCUUAGGAUUCUUGAUGAUCUUCGUACUUAUUUCAUGUAAGUACCUUUCAAUUUUGUCAUUUUCACUAGAAAACCAGCUUUGAAGUUGCCCACCC
rnacentral:lncRNA from 1 species